CUGCAAGGUGUUGCUUGGGAAGUCAUACCAGGGCAGCACCUACACAGUGAAUGGCAGGGCUCUGGAGAGGUUUGUUGCAGAGCAGAGGGAUCUAGGAGUACAAGUGCAUGGUUCCUUGAAGGUUGAGUCGCAGGUAGAUAAGGU